rnacentral:misc_RNA from 1 species
GUAUAUAGUUUUAUAGGCACAAUGGCCCAUUGAUUACAUUCUUUAACAUACUAUGUGGGUAUAUGCAAAACAUAGAACCAGAAGAGAUGGCGACCUUAAUUGCAGAAGGAAUUGCUUCACUUCACACGUUAGGGCCUAAUGUCAUACUCUUCCAAGGACUACAAAGGGUGCACAGAGGGAUAAAUAAAGACAGCAGGUGUGCACAAUGCUUCAAGAAGCCAGCUACAACCCACCAUACUUAUUCAAUAAUGAUCCUUCCGCAGGUUCACCUACGGAAA